GGUCUUAAAUUCUCAACAUACACUCACAGCUAUCUGCGGAUUGAGAUGUAGACCUCUCGGCUCCUCCAACCUUGCUUCAUCUAACGCUGCACGUGGCCCAUGUGACCUGUCUACCUUGGCUGCCACGCGCCUAGCCCUGCUGCCGAUCUUCAUUCUUGACAAUCUGCUGGGGGAAGAUAAUGUCUUGUACUUACUUUUAAAUGUGUUCCUCUGGCCACUGGGAUGGUUGAACAUCUUUUCUGAUUCUUCUUCAUCCACCUGCGUCUCAGGAAAUGAGUCUUGGAGGAGCACACUGGCUAAGGCCUCCACAGAGCUCAGCUCACCUCUGCUGAGGCGCCACAGUGAGUGUCAAGCUUCAAGCUGUGAGCUUCACAGAGGGUGUGGCACUAGGAGGUGUGGCCUUGUUCGAGUAGGCCUUCUGGGGGUGUAGCACCUUUAAGAGGUGUGGCCUUGUUGGAGGAAGUAUGUCACUGUGGGGACAGGCUUUGAGAUCUAUGCUCAUGCUACACACAGUGUGUCACACAGUCUCCUGCUGCUGCCUCUGGAUCAAGAUGUAGAACUCUCAGCUCCUCCAGCACCGUGUCUGCCUGCCUGCAAGCUGCCAUGUUUCCGGUAAUGGACGGAACCUCUGAAACUUAAUGCUCUCAGAAACAUUCAGGACGGAGAGAUGGUGCGGUUAUUCACUCUGCACACAUGUUAGCACCUUGAACCCAGGCUUACGUGUGAUGGUAGGCACCAGAGGCGUGAAGGCAAAUCACAUCUCACCCCUUCCCUCAGGAGUGUGUGCUGGCUUGCUUUAUGUCAGCUCGUCACGGACCUGAGUCACGGAAAGAGGGCCUCUCAGUUGAGAAACGCCUCCUGUAGAGUUUGUGGCAGUUAGAGAGGGUCGAACUUGCAGGAAGAGAAUCCUUUUGUACCAAGGUGAGUUUCAACCCUGCUGCGAAGUUUGGAACAUUUCUCAAGAUCAUGCCCAGAAGUACCGACUUACCAGGGCUGCAAGCUGAAGUUACCAUACAGCCGUGGUAGAAUGCACUACAGGCAAUCCUAAACAUGCACCUUUGGAUUGUGCUUAGGGAUAGUGCUAAUAUCACUUGAGGAAUUCUGGCCAUGAAUGCUGCGAUGGAUCUGUUUCUCUCCACCAAGUUCUUCCAUUAAAGCUCUGGGGUAUGAAGACAGCCUCUCUCUGUAGGCUGUAAUGAUGGGGCUGCCUGAGGCCAACAUGGCUCCAGACACACUCUAAGGUAUCUUAAGCCUGCACAGCAGUCACGAGUGGCGGAUGAGUUCAUGCCUGAUCAUGCGUUUAAAAUCCCAGCUAAUAAACAUUGGUGCCUCAAGGAGCCAAGAUUUCACCUUAACGGCCAAAGGAACUGAACUCAAGAGACUCUACACUGACUUGUGGUUUGAAAAUGGGAUAUGAGCUAUUUAUAUACGCAGCCAAGUAAAAUGUAACCUGACAGCCAUUAAAUAUAUCUAGUUAAGC